rnacentral:rRNA from 1 species
CCUACGGGAGGCAGCAGUGAGGAAUAUUGGUCAAUGGGCGCGAGCCUGAACCAGCCAAGUAGCGUGAAGGAUGACUGCCCUACGGGUUGUAACCUUCUUUUAUAAAGGAAUAAAGUGCGGCACGUGUGCCUUUUUGUAUGUACUUUAUGAAUACGGAUCGGCUAACUCCGUGCCAGCAGCCGCGGUAAUACGGAGGAUCCGAGCGUUAUCCGGAUUUAUUGGGUGUAAAGGGAGCGUAGAUGGGUUGGUAAGUCAGUUGUGAAAGUUUGCGGCUCAACCGUAAAAUUGCAAUUGAUACUGGCAGUCUUGAGUACAGUAGAGGUACGCGGAAUUCGUGGUGUAGCGGUGAAAGGCUUAGAUAUCACGAAGAACUCCGAUGGCGAAGGCAGCUUACUAAACGGCCACUGACAUUGAUGCUCGAAAGUGUGGGUAUCAAACAGGAUUAGAUACCCCUGUAGUC